AAGUCGUAACAAGGUCUCCGUUGGUGAACCAGCGGANGGAUCAUUACAGAGUUCUAAAAAGACUCCCAAAACCAUUGUGAACGCACCGUUAGCCGUUGCCUCGGCGGGCGGCCCCUCCCUGGGGCCGCUGCCCCCCCUCGCGGGGGGUGCCCGCCGGCGCGCCAAAAACUCUUAUGUAUGUUAGUGGCCUCUCUGAGAAAACAAGCAAAUAAGUUAAAACUUUCAACAACGGAUCUCUUGNUUCUGGCAUCGAUGAAGAACGCAGCGAAAUGCGAUAAGUAAUGUGAAUUGCAGAAUUCAGUGAAUCAUCGAAUCUUUGAACGCACAUUGCGCCCGCCAGUACUCUGGCGGGCAUGCCUGUCCGAGCGUCAUUUCAACCCUCAAGCCCCGCUUGGNGUUGGGGNCCUACGGCUGCCGUANGCCCUGAAAGCUAGUGGCGGGCUCGCUAUAACUCCGAGCGUANNAGUAACAUAUCUCGCUANGGAGUCGUCGCGGGUUCCGGCCGUGAAAGCCCCAUCUUUUACACAAGGNUGACCUCGGAUCAGGUAGGAAUACCCGCUGAACUUAAGCAUAUCAAUAAGCGGAGGAAAAGAAANCAACAGGGAUUGCCCCAGUAACGGCGAGUGAAGCGGCANCAGCUCAAAUUNGAAAUCUGGCUUCGNNCCGAGUUGUAAUUUGUAGAGGAUGCUUUUGGUGAGGUGCCUUCUGAGUUCCCUGGAACGGGACGCCACAGAGGGUGAGAGCCCCGUAUAGUUGGACACCGAGCCUCUGUAAAGCUCCUUCGACGAGUCGAGUAGUUUGGGAAUGCUGCUCAAAAUGGGAGGUAUAUCUCUUCUAAAGCUAAAUACUGGCCAGAGACCGAUAGCGCACAAGUAGAGUGAUCGAAAGAUGAAAAGCACUUUGAAAAGAGGGUUAAAUAGUACGUGAAAUUGUUGAAAGGGAAGCGCUUGUGACCAGACUUGUGCCGGGCUGAUCAUCCAGUGUCCUCACUGGUGCACUCUGCCCGGCUCAGGCCAGCGUCGGUUCUCGCAGGGGGAUAAAAGCGGCGGGAACGUGGCUCCUCCGGGAGUGUUAUAGCCCGCCGCUCAAUACNCUUGCGGGGACCGAGGUUCGCGCUCCGGCAUGGACGCUGGCAUAAUGGUCAUCAGCGGCC
rnacentral:rRNA from 1 species